GUAACGCGGAGAGCUUGCUCUCCGGCGACGAGUGGCGGACGGGUGAGUAAUACUUAGGAAUCUGCCCAGUAGUGGGGGACAACUCGGGGAAACUCGAGCUAAUACCGCAUACGCCCUACGGGGGAAAGCGGGGGAUCUUCGGACCUCGCGCUAUUGGAUGAGCCUAAGUCGGAUUAGCUUGUUGGUGAGGUAAUAGCUCACCAAGGCGACGAUCCGUAGCUGGUCUGAGAGGACGAUCAGCCACACUGGGACUGAGACACGGCCCAGACUCCUACGGGAGGCAGCAGUGGGGAAUAUUGGACAAUGGGCGCAAGCCUGAUCCAGCAAUGCCGCGUGUGUGAAGAAGGCCUGCGGGUUGUAAAGCACUUUCAGUAGAGAAGAAAAGCCUAGGGUUAAUAGCCCUGAGUCUUGACGUAACCUACAGAAGAAGCACCGGCUAACUCCGUGCCAGCAGCCGCGGUAAUACGAAGGGGGCAAGCGUUGUUCGGAAUUAUUGGGCGUAAAGCGUAUGUAGGAGGUCUAUCAAGUCAGACGUGCAAGCCCUCGGCUCAACCGAGGAAUUGCGUUUGAAACUGAUAGACUUGAGUGUAGGAGAGGAAAGCGGAAUUCCCAGUGUAGCGGUGAAAUGCGUUGAUAUUGGGAAGAACACCGGUGGCGAAGGCGGCUUUCUGGCCUGCUACUGACACUGAGAUACGAAAGCCAGGGGAGCAAAGGGGAUUAGAUACCCCCGUAGUCCUGGCUGUAAACGAUGGGCACUAUGUGCGGGAGGUAUUGAUCCCUUCUGUGCCGCAGCUAACGCAU
rnacentral:rRNA from 1 species